rnacentral:rRNA from 1 species
CCUACGGGAGGCUGCAGUGGGGAAUAUUGGACAAUGGGCGAAAGCCUGAUCCAGCCAUGCCGCGUGUGUGAAGAAGGCCUUCGGGUUGUAAAGCACUUUCAGUGGGGAAGAAAGCCUUGGGGCUAAUACCCUCGAGGAAGGACAUCACCCACAGAAGAAGCACCGGCUAACUCCGUGCCAGCAGCCGCGGUAAUACGGAGGGUGCGAGCGUUAAUCGGAAUUACUGGGCGUAGAGCGCGCGUAGGCGGUCUGAUAAGCCGGUUGUGAAAGCCCCGGGCUCAACCUGGGAACGGCAUCCGGAACUGUCAGGCUAGAGUGCAGGAGAGGAAGGUAGAAUUCCCGGUGUAGCGGUGAAAUGCGUAGAGAUCGGGAGGAAUACCAGUGGCGAAGGCGGCCUUCUGGACUGACACUGACGCUGAGGUGCGAAAGCGUGGGUAGCAAACAGGAUUAGAUACCCUAGUAGUC